UGCGUAGGUGGGUUGGUAAGUCAGUGGUGAAAUCCCCGAGCUUAACUUGGGAACUGCCAUUGAUACUAUCAGUCUUGAAUAUUGUGGAGGUUAGCGGAAUAUGUCAUGUAGCGGUGAAAUGCUUAGAUAUGACAUAGAACACCAAUUGCGAAGGCAGCUGGCUACGCAUAUAUUGACACUGAGGCACGAAAGCGUGGGGAUCAAACA
rnacentral:rRNA from 1 species